rnacentral:rRNA from 1 species
UGCAAACUGCGAAUACCGGAGAAUGUUAUCACGGGAGACACACGGCGGGUGCUAACGUCCGUCGUGAAGAGGGAAACAACCCAGACCGCCAGCUAAGGUCCCAAAGUCAUGGUUAAGUGGGAAACGAUGUGGGAAGGCCCAGACAGCCAGGAUGUUGGCUUAGAAGCAGCCAUCAUUUAAAGAAAGCGUAAUAGCUCACUGGUCGAGUCGGCCUGCGCGGAAGAUGUAACGGGGCUAAACCAUGCACCGAAGCUGCGGCAGCGAACGUAUCACUUAAAGCGAUUCAGCGGGUUACGAUUGACGGAGCGAAGCGACGUCAAAGCGUAUACAAAGUCGAGUCGGUUUAAGGAUACGUUCGUUGGGUAGGGGAGCGUUCUGUAAGCCUGUGAAGGUGGCCUGUGAGGGUUGCUGGAGGUAUCAGAAGUGCGAAUGCUGACAUAAGUAACGAUAAAGCGGGUGAAAAGCCCGCUCGCCGGAAGACCAAGGGUUCCUGUCCAACGUUAAUCGGGGCAGGGUGAGUCGACCCCUAAGGCGAGGCCGAAAGGCGUAGUCGAUGGGAAACGGGUUAAUAUUCCCGUACUUGGUGUUACUGCGAAGGGGGGACGGAGAAGGCUAUGUUGGCCGGGCGACGGUUGUCCCGGUUUAAGCGUGUAGGUGUGUGUUCCAGGUAAAUCCGGUUCACUUUAACACUGAGGCGUGACGACGAGGCACUACGGUGCUGAAGCAACAAAUGCCCUGCUUCCAGGAAAAGCCUCUAAGCAUCAGGUAACAUCAAAUCGUACCCCAAACCGACACAGGUGGUCAGGUAGAGAAUACCAAGGCGCUUGAGAGAACUCGGGUGAAGGAACUAGGCAAAAUGGUGCCGUAACU